CAUAACCAUGAAUCAUCUUUGAGAGAUAGAAGGACAGCUUGGAUUCCGCGUUGCCAACCGAGGAGUGCUACCGCUCUUUCAAGUCACAAACGCAUUGCGUGUACGUGCGGUGCGCCUAAUCGACAGAUAUUUUCGGUUCUACUGGACAGACGCUCGUCUUGAAAGUAUGCAUUAAUUGAAAGGCGAAGUUGCGAAACCGGCACUCGGGUUUCAGUUUCGAGCGGAAGCAGCGAUGAACGAUAAGUAAGGAUAAACGUAAAUCACGUGGAUUGACUGUAUAGCCCCGGUAUCGAUGCGUGCGGUAUUAUUCAAAUAUGCAUGACUUCGGCCGUGCACAUUCCAUAGGUAAGAGUUGAAAUGAACGAAACUAGCAAUCCGAGUCUAACGUUAUUCUUACGCAUUCAGGUUGGCCGAGUUAUACUACUUCUAACGCGAUAAUUUCACUAAUUGGAACUUUCGACUUGGACCCGCCUGAGACUCCAGAUUCUGUUGAAAGCAUCUUGACUCUACCAAAGGUACUUUCGGUCGCACGUACAUACGUGAAUUAUCGUAAUGCGUAUACGAUUGCCAGUUUGCACGCAAUAACCGAUUUACACGAGAAACGUGCAGAGAAAGGAAGUUAGGUUUAUAUCUUAAAUUCUACAUACGUCUGUUCCAAUAAUAAAUAAUCAUUAUUGUUGAAUAAUGUAUGUAAGAAAUUGCAAAAAACUAUAGUCUAUAAAGUUUAACUUUAGAUAACUACGUUCUACUAUUACAAAUGUAAAGUCGAGAACUGUUAGUCGAAUGUUUCUACUUGUUUUGUCAGCAGUCACGUAGAAACUUUUAGUGGAUGUUGUACGAAGGAGAUUGAACAGUAAAUUGAUUAUUUACGAGAGACCUUUUCAAAGAUGUUUAAGUGCUAUAUCUGUAGACAGGGAUUAGAGGAAAUCACAAUAUGUACAGAAUACAGUGCUCCUUAAGCCUCUAUUUCAAUUUGUAGAAUCAAUAAAUUUGCUUAAGGUU